rnacentral:rRNA from 1 species
GACGAACGCUGGCGGCGUGCUUAACACAUGCAAGUCGAACGGAAAGGCCCUGCUUUUGUGGGGUGCUCGAGUGGCGAACGGGUGAGUAACACGUGAGUAACCUGCCCUUGACUUUGGUAUAACUUCAGGUAACUGGGGCUAAUACCGGAUAGGAUCUCCUGCUGCAUGGUGGGGGUUGGAAAGUUUCGGCGGUUGGGGAUGGACUCGCGGCUUAUCAGCUUGUUGGUGGGGUAGUAGCUUACCAAGGCUUUGACGGGUAGCCGGCCUGAGAGGGUGACCGGCCACAUGGGGACUGAGAUACGGACCAGACUCCUACGGGAGGCAGCAGUGGGGAAUAUUGCACAAUGGGCGGAAGCCUGAUGCAGCAACGCCGCGUGCGGGAUGACGGCCUUCGGGUUGUAAACCGCUUUCGCCUGUGACGAAGCGUGAGUGACGGUAAUGGGUAAAGAAGCACCGGCUAACUACGUG